rnacentral:rRNA from 1 species
CCUGGGGGGGGUACAUUACAGAGUUGUCCUAACUCCCAACCCAUGUGAACAUACCGACCGUUGCCUCGGCAGGCCUGGCCAGCCAGCCGGUGGCCCACGAAACACUGUUUUCUUUUUGAAUUCUGAGCGGGAAGCGAAAAAAAAAAAAAUGAAGUUAAAACUUUCAACAACGGAUCUCUUGGUUCUGGCAUCGAUGAAGAACGCAGCGAAAUGCGAUAAGUAAUGUGAAUUGCAGAAUUCAGUGAAUCAUCGAAUCUUUGAACGCACAUUGCGCCCAUUAGCAUUCUAGUGGGCAUGCCUGUUCGAGCGUCAUUUCAACCCCUUAAGCCUCUGUCGCUUAGUGUUGGGAGCCUACGGCGUGCCGUAGCUCCUUAAAGUUAGUGGCGGAGUCGGUUCACACCCUAGACGUAGUAGGUUUUUACCCAUCCCCUAUGGUUUGGACCCGGCCCCUGCCGUAAAACAAAAAAAACGACCCCUAGUGUCUGUCAAGGUUGACCUCGGAUCAGGUAGGAAUACCCGCUGAACUUAAGCAUAUCAUAA